CACGCCUGUCUGAGGGUCGGCGACUAAGCAAUCGUCAAAGGACGUGUCUUCGCGGACGCGACCGGCGACGCAUUGGGCUUUCGAAGUUCUAGCAACUCCGUGGCUCUAAGUGCAGACCGCCUUCCGCUUGUCGGAGGAGUCGCGGUCGCCUGCCUUGUCGCAUUUGUGAGACGGGUACGGAGGCUGCGUGGACCGGCAUCUGGUUCUCGCGCGGCUUUCGUCGGACUUCCUCACGGAGGACCGACCGAAGUCUUGCAUGCUCGUGCGGCGGGGCCGGGCUUCCGCAACGACGCCACCGAUCGAGUCUGGCGAACUACGUAAAUUGGGGCUUUUUAACUAAGGUUCCUCUCUUUUUCCGACCUCAGAUCAGACGAGACUACCCGCUGAAUUUAAGCAUAUCAGUAAGCGGAGGAAAAGAAACUAACAAGGAUUCCCUCAGUAACGGCGAGUGAAGCGGGAAGAGCCCAGCACCGAAUCCCCUGGUUCUGCGCUAGCGGGAAUUGUGGUGUUUGGGACGCCUAACGGCGCUGUGUCCCUGUGCCCAAGUCCUUCUGAUCGGGGCCUUUCCCAUAGUGGGUGUCAGGCCUUUAGCGGCACGGGACUAGGCGUCCUUGAGCGUCCUUGGAGUCGGGUUGUUUGGGAAUGCAGCCCUAAGCGGGUGGU
rnacentral:rRNA from 1 species